rnacentral:sRNA from 1 species
AGGUGCCAGCCGUUCAUCCCGGCUUCAAUGCGCCGGCCACACCUGCGUGGCGGCCGCGCGCUAUGUUUCGUCAGCU